GACGAACGCUGGCGGCGUGCUUAAUACAUGCAAGUCGAGCGAGGUUACUGUUUCGGAUCCCUUCGGGGUGAAGAAGCUUUAACCUAGCGGCGGACGGGUGAGUAACGCGUGGGUAACCUACCCCAAAGUCCGGGAUAACAGCGGGAAACCGCUGCUAAUACCGGAUGCCUUUACCUUGGGGCAUCUUGAGGUAAAGAAAGGUAACGCUUUGGGAUGGGCCCGCGUCCCAUUAGCUAGUUGGUGAGGUAACGGCUCACCAAGGCGACGAUGGGUAGCCGGCCUGAGAGGGUGGACGGCCACACUGGGACUGAGACACGGCCCAGACUCCUACGGGAGGCAGCAGUAGGGAAUAUUGCGCAAUGGACGGAAGUCUGACGCAGCGACGCCGCGUGAGCGAUGAAGGUCUUCGGAUCGUAAAGCUCUGUCCUUGGGGAAGAGGUCUUCGGACUUGACGGUACCCAAGAAGAAAGCCCCGGCUAACUACGUG
rnacentral:rRNA from 1 species